GAACUUUAUUAAAUGCCAUGAUAGCCAAGAUGAGCCUGAAGAGGAGAUUUGGGAAGAUGCUGUUUCAUAAGUCUUUGCUUUGCCAGAUUAUCUGUGGUUGGGGUGUCUGCCAACGUGAUGCCUUGCUGGUCUGGUUUGAGUUUGAAGUCUCUCACAGACAGUCCAGAAGGUCUGGAGUCCAUCUUAGCUUUCAUUGAUGCUGUCAUCAUAUUGUUAGUGCAUGAGCCAGAAAGGAUGUGUGGUGGUGGCCAUAAGAAGACUGUCAACUAAACCAACAACAAAAUUCAUAUUUGCA